rnacentral:rRNA from 3 species
CAAAUGAAUUGACGGGGGCCCGCACAAGCGGUGGAGCAUGUGGUUUAAUUCGAUGCAACGCGAAGAACCUUACCUGGUCUUGACAUCCACAGAACUUUCCAGAGAUGGAUUGGUGCCUUCGGGAACUGUGAGACAGGUGCUGCAUGGCUGUCGUCAGCUCGUGUUGUGAAAUGUUGGGUUAAGUCCCGCAACGAGCGCAACCCUUAUCCUUUGUUGCCAGCGGUCCGGCCGGGAACUCAAAGGAGACUGCCAGUGAUAAACUGGAGGAAGGUGGGGAUGACGUCAAGUCAUCAUGGCCCUUACGACCAGGGCUACACACGUGCUACAAUGGCGCAUACAAAGAGAAGCGACCUCGCGAGAGCAAGCGGACCUCAUAAAGUGCGUCGUAGUCCGGAUUGGAGUCUGCAACUCGACUCCAUGAAGUCGGAAUCGCUAGUAAUCGUGGAUCAGAAUGCCACGGUGAAUACGUUCCCGGGCCUUGUACACACCGCCCGUCACACCAUGGGAGUGGGUUGCAAAAGAA